rnacentral:rRNA from 1 species
UCCGGUGCCGAUGGCGCAGGGGCCACACCCGUUCCCAUUCCGAACACGGCCGUUAAGCCCUGCCGCGGCGAUGGUACUGCGCGGGCGACUGCGUGGGAGAGUAGCACGGCGCCGGAU